AACGCACAUUGCGCCCGCCAGUAUUCUGGCGGGCAUGCCUGUCCGAGCGUCAUUUCAACCCUCGAACCCCUCCGGGGGGUCGGCGUUGGGGAUCGGCCCUCCCUUAGCGGGUGGCCGUCUCCGAAAUACAGUGGCGGUCUCGCCGCAGCCUCUCCUGCGCAGUAGUUUGCACACUCGCAUCGGGAGCGCGGCGCGUCCACAGCCGUUAAACACCCAACUUCUGAAAUGUUGACCUCGGAUCAGGUAGGAAUACCCGCUGAACUUAA
rnacentral:misc_RNA from 3 species